AAGACAUAAGCGGCCAAACAUCCAAGGAGCCGCGUGAACUUUCCCACGAACACGAGUGCAUAGUUGGGGGCAGUGGAUUUAUUCAUUUAUUGAGACGAAAUGAAGAGUUGAGAAAUGUUCAUAAACAACAUAUACAGUUUCGGGAUAUAUCCAAAUUGUAUGUUUGUACAAAGGUCACAGCCUGCUGAUGAAGAUCCUCAGCUUAUACAGAGGUCAGGCUUGAGCUAUGUGCUGAUUCAAAAGAUGCUAAUGACAGUGGAUAAUCCAUUCUGAGUUGUUCUAGGACCAUUCACCAACGUUUCAAAACACUGAUGGAACUGAAGGCAGUACAUGUACUGGUGUCUGGCCUGUGAUUUCAAGUAUAAUUGAUGUACCUCCUCCUGAUGUAUCUCCUUGAAUACAAUAUAUAUGCCAUGUGAAAGGAACAAGCUGCAAGAUAUACUGUAGAAGUGGAGGCCUAUGUAAAAAACAUUUUAUUUAAAGAAUAUAAGAAAUCUGACACUAAACUACUGAAAAGGUGCACAGGGGACAUUUUAAUGUGUAUAGACUUUCAUCAAGAUUCACAGAAAGUUGUUUUAUUAAACAAAAAUAGUCAUAUUGUGUCUUCAAAGCUGAAAAGAUUAAGAUCUUAGGAAAACAUUAGGACUCAAGAAAAGUAAUGGGGUUAUGAAACUGUAGUG
rnacentral:lncRNA from 1 species